UCUGUAAGUGUACGUCGUGAAACUUGUUUAUAGUGCUCACUAACUUACUUUCGUCAAUUUUAAAUCAAUUUAUAAUAUAAAAUUGAAAAACAACAAAAAUGAUCAAAUAUCUUAAUUCGUUACUCUCGUUGUUUAAAUAAUUAAGUUAAUUUUAUCGGAAUAACAAGUAUACAGAUACAAGCUAGAGCAAUGACCAAAAAAUUGAUCGACAUCGACGGGUUAUUAGAAGAGGUAGGCGAAUUUGGAAAAUAUCAAAAAAAAAAUAUAUUUUAUCUCGGAUUAACGUUACUGUUCACGGCGUCGUCCACCAUGUCGUUCGUGUUCACCACGGGAGACAUGAACUACAGAUGUCGGAUAAACGAAUGCGAUGUUUCUGAGACGUCAUUCGAAUACUGGCCGCCGUGGCUGAACCAGACCGUACCGUUUGACGCUGACGACCAUCGGCUGUCCAAGUGUUCGCGGUACGUGUUGAACAACAGUCCGAACAACACCAACACCACCGACAGACGCGUCUUCCGAUGUGACGAAAGUGAAUACAACAGGUCUUCGAUAGUGCAGUGCGACGAAUUCGUCUUCGAAUCCGGUGGGGAGACAACGAUAGUUUCCGCGUUCAACAUAUUUUGCAAAAACAACAAGUGGAAACUGACAAUCGUAGGGACCCUCAACAACAUUGGUCAGUUUUUCUCUUUACCCAUAUCCGGCUUUUUGUCAGACAAGUACGGCAGGAAAAACAUUAUCAUCGUUGGAAGCGUAUUGGCAGCGACAUGUGGUAUUUUACGCGGGCUGUCAAUAAAUUACACCAUGUUCAUGGUAUUGGAAUUUUUCGACGCUUUUUUUUCCGGUGGAGUUUACAGUGCUACUUUCAUAAUGGGUAUCGGGCUAGUUGGAGGCAAACACAGAGUUUUUGCGAGUACCAUUUUGAGUGCUUACUAUCCAAUCGGCGAGGCAUUAGUCGGAGUAUUGUUUUGGUACGUUCAAGACUGGAGGAAAUUCUUGAUAUUCGUAAACUUACCGGGAUUGGGUUUCGCGUUGGCCUACACAAUUAUUCCAGAGUCUGUUCGCUGGAUGAUCACCGCUGGAAAAAUCAACGAGGCCAUAGAGGAAUUGAAAUACAUUGCGAAUUACAACGGAAAAAAACUAUCAGAAGAGACUCUGAAAAAACUCGAAACGUUUAAAAGCUCCAACGAAAAAGAGAUCGAAAUAGAAGAAAUGACGAAGCGCACGACGAGCUGUUCUAGCCAGCAAGCAUUUAAACGUGCUAUGACUUCAAAACGCUUAAUAUUACGAGUGAUCAACUGUUCGUUCUGUUGGAUGAUCAACACGCUCAUUUAUUACGGCCUGUCUAUGAGUUCGGGUUCAAUAGUGGGAAACCGGUACGGGAACUUCAUUCUGUGUAGCCUGGUCGAAAUCCCGGCGUUGUUCUUGGUGAUCAAGAUUAUGAACAACUGCGGCCGGAGAGAAUCGCAAUGUGCCACGCUCUUGGUGUGCAGUACUCUAUGCAUUUCGAUCGCGUUCGUCCCAAAACACGCGGUCAUCUUAAAUGUACUCCUGUACCUGAUUGGAAAGUUCUCCAUAACCAUUUCGUUCGUAAUACUGUACAUGUACACCGCCGAAAUGUUCCCAACGGAAAUCCGACAUUCCCUGUUCGGCAUAUGCUCCAUGUUCGGCAGGAUUGGUUCAAUGGUGGCACCACAAACUCCAUUAUUAGUAAGUAAUAAGUAGGGCUCGGAUUUUGUAGCAAAUGCUUUUUUUGAGGGAAGUGUGAUAGAAAGAUAAUUCUUUUAUAUAAAUACGUUUUGAAUCGUUCUGAUUUUAAUGAAAUAAACUUUUUUUUUGCUUUUUUUUGCUUUUUUCCAUAAAAUCUGCUUUUUAUUGCUUUUCCCCUAUUUGGUUAUUUUUUCUUGAUUUUUAUAUAUUUUUCUUGAAAACUUAGCUUUUUUCUAUGUAUAUUAUACGUCUUGGACUAUAUUAGUAUUACCAGAAAUUAUAAAACCAGUAAAAAAACCAAUAAUAAAUAUAUGACUGAUAAAAUAACUGUCGUUAUUGUGCCGAAAUAGUUUUAUCUACAAUUAUCUAUAGUUGUAUUUACGACUCAAGGAAAGAGAAAAUUAUCUGAAUUAUACCUACGUAUUUUUAUAGCACGUGUUAAUACUUUAGUUGGCCGGUAAAUAUCAAUCGACAAUCAGUGAGGUAUAAACGUAUAGUGUUCUAAAUAAUUUCUUUAAUCGUCAAAAUGCCAAAAGUUAAAAAUUUAAAUUUAAAAUUAAAAAAAAUAGGUAUUGUGUUAGAAGCAAAACAAAAGUUAGAGGAAGCUAAUGGCGAAGUAGCGAAAUUGAUUUUAGAAAAGUGCAAUCGUGUUUUUUCAAAAAAUAAUGGAUGGGCAGAACUUCAAAAAGUCAAUAGUAUUCAUAAUGGCACUGCACUAAACGUUACUUAUUUCGGCGAAUUGUCACCGUUACUACUCUUCAGCGUAUCUGCUCUACUGUCUGGAUUGCUUGCACUACUAUUUCCGGAAACUCUCAAUAAAAAAAUGCCGGACACAGUUUUGGAAGCCGAACAAAUUGGCAAC